rnacentral:rRNA from 1 species
CUUGGUCAUUUAGAGGAAGUAAAAGUCGUAACAAGGUUUCCGCAGGUGAACCUGCGGAAGGAUCAUUAAUGAAUUUCUAUAUGUGUGAGAUGGACUGAGGGGGUCGCAAGGCCUUUGACGUUUGUUUCCACUAUAUUUUUCACCCAUGGCUUGUUUAGUUUUUCUGUUUUGCAGGAAACGAAUGGUCAUGAUUUCCUUCGUACUAAUUUUGUCUGACCGAAAAUCGUUCUUCUCGAAAGGGAGGGGCGUAAUUUAAGCAAACUUUAAAAACUAUGAACAACGGAUCUCUUGGCUCUUGCAUCGAUGAAGAACGCAGCGAAACGCGAUAUGUAUUGUGAAUUGCAGAAUUCCGUGAAUCAUCGAAUCUUUGAACGCACAUUGCGCCUUGGGGUUAUCCCUCAAGGCAUGCCUGUCUGAGCGUCAGUAAAACAACCAAUCUUGUGAAUUGUUGGGGAGAGAGGGGGUGUUACAGCUCCUUUUCUUCUCUUCAGUCCAUGUUGUGAGCAGUGAAACUUUUAUCAAGUCUCUUGCUUGAAAGACAAUAGUUCGGUGGCAAGUAAACUGAUGUCCGCGACGAGUGUGAUAGGUUGAUCCAAUUCACUUUAAUCGUGCGUCAAAAGUCCUUGACCUACUCUUUACUUUAAAGAAUUGUACUAGAUUUUGACCUCAGAUCAGGUAAGAAUACCCGCUGAACUUAAGCAUAUCAAUAAGCGGAGGAAAAGAAACCAACAGGGAUGCCCUUAGUAACGGCGAGCGAAGCGGGCAAAGCUCAAAUUUGAAAUCAGGCGUGGGCCAUCCACGUCCGAGUUGUAAUUUCUAGAAACCAUUCCGGCAAUGGCCCUGGCCCAAGUCCGUUGGAAUACGGCGCACGAUAGGGUGAGAGCCCCGUAUCAGGUCAGAGGCGGGCGCUGUGUGGAAGGUUUUCGACGAGUCGAGUUGUUUGGGAAUGCAGCUCUAAAUGGGUGGUAAAUUCCAUCUAAAGCUAAAUAUUGGCAAGAGACCGAUAGCGCACAAGUAGAGUGAUCGAAAGGUGAAAAGAACUUUGGAAAGAGAGUCAAACAGUACGUGAAAUUGUUCAUAGGGAAGCGCUUCAUGCCAGAUUCGGUGGUGUCAGAACAUGGGAUUCUUCGGAGCCCUGCACUCUGGUCACCAACGGGCCAGCAUCGAUUGCUGCAGCGAGACGCAACCUGUCGGGAAUGUGGCUUUUCUUCGGAAACGUGUUAUAGCCCGGCAACGGCUGUCGCUAGCUGGCAAUCGAGGAACGCGCUCUUUACUGAGUUCGGAUGCUUGGCGAAAUGGCCUGCAGCGACCCGUCUUGAAACACGGACC